UCUAAGUAGUAAGCGACAAAAUGCUUUAGGGAGUUGAAAAUAAGCAUAGAUCCGGGGAUUCUCGAAUAAGUUAAUUUUUUGAACUACUGUUGAAUCCACGGACAGGCAAGAGACAACCUGUUGAACUGAAACAUCUUAGUAGUCAGAGGAAAAGAAAGCAAAAGUAAUUCCCGUAGUAGCGGCGAGCGAAAUGGGAGCAACCUAAACCGUAAAAACGAGGUUGUG